rnacentral:rRNA from 1 species
UACGAAGGGGGCGAGCGUUGUUCGGAAUCACUGGGCGUAAAAGGCGCGUAGGCGGCCCUCUUAGUCGCGUGUGAAAGCCCCGGGCUCAACCUGGGAACGGCGCGCGAAACGGGAGGGCUGGAGUUCGGGAGAGGAGAGUGGAAUUCCCAGUGUAGAGGUGAAAUUCGUAGAUAUUGGGAAGAACACCGGUGGCGAAGGCGGCUCUCUGGACCGAGACUGACGCUGAGGCACGAAAGCUAGGGGAGCAAACAGG